GUGGGGAAUUUUGGACAAUGGGCGAAAGCCUGAUCCAGCAACGCCGCGUGAGUGAUGAAGGCCUUCGGGUCGUAAAGCUCUGUCGGGAGGAACGAAGAACGGAAGUCGAACAGGCUUCCGGGUGACGGUACCUUCAAAGGAAGCACCGGCUAACUCUGUGCCAGCAGCCGCGGUAAGACAGAGGGUGCAAGCGUUGUUCGGAAUUACUGGGCGUAAAGGGCGUGUAGGCGGUGAGGUAUGUCCGGUGUGAAAGCCCUCGGCUUAACUGAGGAAGCGCAUCGGAAACUGCUUCGCUGGAGUGCGGUAGAGGGUGGCGGAAUUCCCGGUGUAGAGGUGAAAUUCGUAGAUACCGGGAGGAACACCAGAGGCGAAGGCGGCCACCUGGCCCGUAACUGACGCUGAGACGCGAAAGCGUGGGUAGCAAACAGGAUUAGAAACCCGGGUAGUCC
rnacentral:rRNA from 1 species